CCCUUAGAUGUUCUGGGCCGCACGCGCGCUACACUGACGAAUGCAACGAGCUUAUAACCUUGGCCGAAAGGUCUGGGUAAUCUCCAAAUUUCGUCGUGAUGGGGAUAGAUUAUUGCAAUUAUUAAUCUUCAACGAGGAAUGCCUAGUAAGCGCAAGUCAUCAGCUUGCGUUGAUUACGUCCCUGCCCUUUGUACACACCGCCCGUCGCUCCUACCGAUUGAAUGGUCCGGUGAAGCGUUCGGACCGUGGCCUUUGGACGGUUCGCCGUCUGUUGGCUGCGGGAAGUUCGUUAAACCUUAUCAUUUAGAGGAAGGAGAAGCCGUANCA
rnacentral:rRNA from 1 species